CCUACGGGCGGCAGCAGUGGGGAAUUUUGCGCAAUGCUCGUAAGAGUGACGCAGCGACGCCACGUGAAUGACGAAGGCCUUCGGGUCGUAAAGUUCUUUCGACAGGGAAGAAAAUGCCUAUAAGUAACUGUGUAUGUAUUGACGGUACCUGUAUAAGAAGCCCCGGCUAACUCCGUGCCAGCAGCCGGGGUAAUACGGAGGGGGCGAGCGUGGUUCGGAGUGAGUGGGCGUAAAGAGCACGUAGGGGGUGUGGUAAGUCAUAAGUCAAAGACUGGGGCUAAAUUUUGGGAAUGCUGGGGAAACUGUGAGACUGGAGUGCAAGAGAGGUGAGCGGAAUUCCUGGUGUAGGGGUGAAAUGCGGAGAUAGCAGGAGGAACA
rnacentral:rRNA from 1 species